rnacentral:rRNA from 1 species
AAAAGAAUUUGAAGAGAGAGUUAAAGAGUACGUGAAACCGUUAAAAGGGAAGCGAAGANCCAGCAAUUURCCUUGAAGUGUUGUUCGCGAUCUGUUAGACGCGACUCGCGUAAGUCCCGAGCGUAGACGGCGCACUUCCGAAAGGCAAGUGUCAGCAUCAGUUGGUCACGGCUUAGAAAGUUGCGACGAAGGUAGACCCCGGGGUUGUUGAGCUUCGCAAAGAAAUGACCCGAGGCUCACUGUAGNUCUGUUGCAAUGCGCGCCUNUGGCUGGUGCCCUGUCCUGUUGACGCGGUUGUCGAGUGUGGCGGACGGCUUUGCCAGUGCGUCCAACCGCUGCCUGUCAACAAGUCGGAGUGCACACACCACGCGUUGACUACGCUGACGGAAAUACGGUUUCAUCCGACCCGUCUUGAAACACGGACCAAGGAGUCUAACGUGUGCGCGAGUCUGUCGGUGCUCGAAACCCGGUNGGCGUAAUGAAAGUGAAGGGGACGUUAUUUGCUUAGGUGAGAAGCCGCCGAGCCGUAUCAUCGACCGACCUGUUCUAUCCUUAGAAAGGUUUGAGUAAGAGCGUAGCUGUUGGGACCCGAAAGAUGGUGAACUAUGCCUGAAUAGGGUGAAGCCAGCGGAAACACUGGUGAAAGCUCGUAGCGAUUCUGACGUGCAAAUCGAUCGUCGGAUUUGGGUAUAGCGGCGAAAGACUAAUCGAACCAUCUAGUAGCUGGUUUCCUCCGAAGUUUCCCACAGGAUAGCUGGGACUCGGAUGCAGUUU